UACGUAGGUGGCAAGCGUUAUCCGGAAUUAUUGGGCGUAAAGAGCGCGCAGGUGGUUAAUUAAGUCUGAUGUGAAAGCCCACGGCUUAACCGUGGAGGGUCAUUGGAAACUGGUUGACUUGAGUGCAGAAGAGGGAAGUGGAAUUCCAUGUGUAGCGGUGAAAUGCGUAGAGAUAUGGAGGAACACCAGUGGCGAAGGCGGCUUCCUGGUCUGCAACUGACGCUGAGGUUCGAAAGCGUGGGUAGCAAACAGG
rnacentral:rRNA from 1 species